rnacentral:rRNA from 1 species
UACGAAGGGGGCUAGCGUUGCUCGGAAUGACUGGGCGUAAAGGGCGCGUAGGCGGCGCGAGCAGUCGAUCGUGAAAGUCCGGAGCUCAACUCCGGAUCGGCGGUCGAUACUCUCGUGCUUGAGCACUGUAGAGGCAGAUGGAAUUCCGGGUGUAGCGGUGGAAUGCGUAGAGAUCCGGAAGAACACCGGUGGCGAAGGCGGUCUGCUGGGCAGUUGCUGACGCUGAGGCGCGAAAGCCAGGGGAGCAAACGGG